AAACAACUCAUCGUCCUCCCCCUCCUCCAACCCAUACCUCUAAUCCUCCUACGUCGUCCUCCAUAUUCUCCCUUAUUUCAUCAGGGAUAGCAGGUACGGAUAGUAUUGGUUGAUCAUCAAUCAUCGGAUGUAAGGUAUGUUACCUUCAUCUUCAUCUUCUACCCAGUUCCAUUUCUAUCUACCUCCGACCUCCGAUUUAUCACUUCCGACCAUCGAUUUUUAACCGAUCGACAAUGCCUCCAUAUUCUGCCUCAUCAGUGCUACCGUCCGACGGGCAAGGAGAGAGUCUGACACCUUCAUGGUUGGGUCCUCCUCCUUCAUUGCCGGUUCCUCCUCCUUCAUCGCCGGUUUGCAACGUCGAUGAUAGGUUCGAUCCUAUUGGACUCCCGACCUUCUGGGAGGACAUGGAAGAAAUUCGUGGAGUGUCCGACGAUGGAGUUCGCCUGAAGAAGGUAGUUCAUCUUAAAAAAAUUGUGUUAUGUUUCACUGAGUAAUGUAUUUCCAUAUUUCUUUUGAAUAUGUGAAAUAAUAAAUCGGAAGUCUCAUUUUCUUCCUAUUGGCACUAGUGAAAUCAUCUACAAUUAUUUUAGCUUGCCAUUACAUAUAAAUUUUGGUAAGAUGGUUACCUGAGGAGAGCUUCUAACGAGAAAUCAGUGAAGUUGAUGAUAGUAUUCACUGAGAUCAGUAGAGCUUCCGAUGAUUCUGAACAUGGGGGAUUGGGGCGAUGAUGUCACUACAAAAAACCAGCGCAGUUCUGGCGCCCAUCUCCCGGCGGCCUGGCCGCCGGUAGAUACUUUCGUCGGCCUGGCCGCCGGAAUGUUACACUUGUCCGCCUGCAUAAUUUUCCCUCGUAAAUGAGAGAAAUUUUCUGGCGGCCAGGCCGACGAAAUAUUUUUUUGUAAAAAAUUCCAGCGGCCUGGCCGCCAGCUCUAAUUCACCAACGGUCGGGAAGAAGUGUUCCGGCGGCCUGGCCGCCGGCAUACUAAAACCCUCAACGGUCGGGAGAAAAAUUCCCGGCGGCCUGGCCGCUGGAUACUUUUUCCCGCUUGUUUUUUUCAGUAGCCAGCGGCCUGGCCGCCAGAAAUUUUUGGAAAACCCUAAAUUUACAACUUGCGCCGCCGUGGUCCCCCGUACAGUCAAACUAAGUCAAACUAAACUUAAGUAUUUCCCGGCGGCCAGGCCGCCGGGAAUUUUUUAUAUAAGAAAAAAAUUUCCAGAUUCUUUCAUUUCCCCCAAAUCGUUCCCACUCCUCCCUAAUCUUCCCCAAGGCUCCUCCGACGAUCUAGGCAUCCUCCGGUCGGUUUUUUGUUGUCAUCAAAGGUAAAUGUUGUCUUCAUCUUGUUCUUCAUCUUUCUCUCUUCUUUUUGAUUUAUUUCCUCUUCCUCUUCUUCUUCUUGUUUUAGUUAUCAUUGUUUUAGUUAUCUUGUUUUUAGUUUUAGUUAUCAUUGUGUAUCCUAACUCUUAAAACCCAACUCUUAAAACCCUAAACCCCAACUUAUUAAAAUUCCCAAAUCUCUAAACCCCAACCCCUCCCUCCCUCACGAUUUUCAAUUUCUCCCAAACCCAAAUCCAAUCGUUCCGUUUCUUGCAUUCCUUUCCGAUUUCUCACAAACCACAACUUCCUCAUCUUCCGGCGAGCACGAGUUCUUCAUCUUCCGAAGGGCGCAGUGAGGACAGUGAGUCUUCCGGCAGAUUUGUUGAAUCACAAUCCUCCCUCUACCAGUGAGUUCUGUUUUUUAUCAUUGUGUAUCACAAUCUUCCGGCAGUGAGUUCUGUUUUUUAUCAUUGUCUCUGUAUCAAUUUCUUUUUCAAUAUUUGCUGAUUCCCCAUCUUAAAUCCACUGUAUUCAUCCCAGCUUCAACUGAUUUACGGCCUUCAGAAAAUAUUGAUAUUUAUGCUUAGUACAAUCAGGGAAAAUGAAACUGCAUUGUAUAAACUUGCCAUCACCAGCAACGUCAUUGGUUGCAUUGGCAACCUGUUUUACAAGUCUAGCACCCACAUUCUUAACCCUGUCCAUAAAUUCAAUGCUCUUUGCAACAGUAACACUAUCUAUGGUGACUUUUUGUGCACCAAAACUUUGUUCUAAAAUAACAUUACGACCCUGAUUUUUAGUUUCCACGCAUAUUCUAAUGGUUUUUUCAAUUCAAUCAAAAAUUCAACUCGAUUUUGUUUCUUUGUUCAAAUUCUUUUACUCUGUAACUUUAAUACUGUUCUGUCCAGAAUAAAAUUCAAUUCAAACAACACUUUCAAUUUCUGGUUUUAGAUUACAUUAGGUAUAUUGUAUACAGUUUGAUUCAACACUUUCAAUUUCAAAUCACACUUUCAAUUCAACAUGAUAUCAGCUAUUCUUGGGAUUCUCAUAAAUUCUUAACAUCACUCUCCAUCAAAUCAUUUAUUUUAAGGUUAAUAUGGAUACACCACCUACACCAACAACUAUAGUUACACCUCACCAGUAAAAUUUGGGUCAUGUUUCAUUAAGUGUGAAGUGUUUGUUAUUGAGGUUUGUUACAUUUUAAGUUUGAAAUGUUAGAUAGAUUCCACUUAAUCUAUCUAUGGAUUGUGUACAUUCUAAGUUUGAAAGUUUGUUAUUGAGGUUUAAUUCAUUUUAAUUUAGUGUUUCUUUAUUUUAGGUUGAAGGUUUGUUUUGCGGAUUUGAAGGCCGGUGUUAGUUUAGAAGCUUUGCGGAUCAAUGUAAUAAUAUUUAUUCAUUUAAUUUUUUUUAAUCUAAUUAGUUAAUCUAAUUUGCAUGUUAGUUAGAAAUUAGUUAAUCUAAUUUGCAUGCUAAGUAAUAGUAAAAUGAAAUGCAUGUUCUUAAAUUGUGUGAAUUGAAAAUGAAUUCAAAUUUUUUGAAAUGAAUUCUAUAAAAUGAAAUGUCAUGAAAUGAAUUAAAAUGCAUAAUUUUAAAAGAAUUCAUGAGUUGAAAUGAAAUUUAAAUUUAAAUAAAUGAAAUAAUUAUUUAAAUAAAUGUUUAGUAAUGUGAUUUUUAAUUAGUUUUUAAUAAAUGUUUAGUAAUUAUUUAUUAAUUAAAUUAUCUAAAAAUUAAAAUCACAUUUUUUAAUUAAUUGUUUAAAAAUUAAAAUGCCAUGUUAGGGUUAGGGUUAGGAUUGUAAUGUUUAGAAAUGCAGUGUUAGGGUUAGGGUUAGGAUUGUAAUUUUUUAUAAUUGAAUUUUAAUUAUUUAAUAAUUAAAAUCAUUUAUUUAAUUAAUAAUUAAAUAAAUAAUUAUUUAAUUAAAUUUAAAUAAUUAUUUAAUUAAUUAAUAAUUGAAAAAAAGUAACAAUCAGAUUUUGUAUAAGUGUGAUUGUUAGUUAGUUUUCAAAUAAUUGUUGAAUAAUCAAUUAUUAAUUAAUUAUUUAUUUAAUUAACUAAUAAUUAAUAAUUAAUUAAGAAAAUAUUGGAAAAUCCAUAAAUCAGUUUUUAUAUUAAGAACUUGAUUUAAAAUCCAAUGUUGAAAACAAUUAUUUAAAAAUUAAAAUCAUUAUUAUCCUUAUUUAAUUAAUUAUCUUUCGAUUAAUUAGAUUAUCAUAAUUAUUUAAUUAAUUAAUAAUUGAAAAAAAGUAACAAUCAGAUUUUGUAUAAGUGUGAUUGUUAGUUAGUUUUCAAAUAAUUGUUGAAUAAUCAAUUGUUAAUUAUUAAUUAAUUAUUAAAAUCAUUAUUAUCCUUAUUUAAUUAAUUAUCUUUCGAUUAAUUAGAUUAUCCUUAUUUUUUUUAGAUGUAUUGGUUAAUAGUAGCAUUCGUUAUAUCGGUUUUCAUGGUCGUCACGACUCCCGAUCGGAGUGAUGAUCAUUCAACUGACGAACAAGAAUAUGAUCAUCCGAAUCUACAUGAGAUGAACAUGGCUGGUGAUCAAACGAAGAAAAAAAGUAGAGAACAAAACAAAGAUCAUCCUGAAUAUCAUCCAUCACAAGGACAACGGUUUGUAAUAAAAUUCAAAGAUGAUCAAAUUGUCCAUGAUAGCGUAGGAAAAAAACUAAACAAGAAAUGCGCAAUGAUCGCGAACGAUUUCAAACUACUACCAAUGGACGUAUCGUGGUUUGAACAAGACCAGAAAAACAUAGAUGAGGCGAUGGAAACGAUUCAGGUUUAUUAAUUAAUAAUAUUUAAUUAUUAUUAUAGAUUUUAUAGUUAAUUAUUAAUUAAUGUUAUAAUUAUUCAUCGAACAGAGAGAAUUUGAUUACAGCGGGUCAACCUUUGGUUAUCGACGUAUCAAUGAAAGGUUAAACAAAUUAUGGAGAAGCGCUUAUAACUCGUUAUUGGAUAAAUAUAAUAACAAAGAUCUGACAGUCGAAGAGGUUAUGAGAACAUUACCCGACUACAUCAUCAAAGACCAAUUUCUAAAAAAACUGAUGGAGAGAAGAUCACCGAGGGGAUUAGUACGUAUUAAUUCAUUUCUUCUUUUUAAUUGCAUUUAAUAACUUUUUUUUUUUUUAACUUAAUUAUUUUAUUUUAACUUAAUAUAGGAAAUUUCUGAAAUUAACAAAGGCAAUCGGGCUAAACAAACAACACACAGUUUAGGUUCGAAGAGUCUGGCGGAAAGAAAUUACGAAGCUGUAAGUAAAUUAUUUAAUUUCAUAUUUACUUUCAAGUUCUUUUUAAUUUUUUCUUUCUUUUCCUAAUUUUAAUAUUACAGGAACAAAAGGGACUAAAUGAGAUUGAAACUUGGAAACUCAAUAUAAAGGCAGCUUAUCCAAAAGACGAACGAGUGGUUAAAGCGGUUAAAUGGAUCGACAGUGAAGAAGCCAAAAAUAUGGCUCAACAAGAAAAUAUGACUGACACGGUAAUUAUUUCAUAUUUUUUCCAAUACAAUUCAAUAGUUAUAUUUACAUUAAUUAUUAUCAUGUUUUCUUUUUCAUUAGGCUCUAAUCCAAUUUGUUAUAACCGAAUUUAUCGGUCGAAGCUCGAAGAAAUCAAGAAUAUUAGGAACAACUGGUUCCUCAUUGAGCAAAAAGACAACGCAUCGGAUGAAUGUGGGGAACUUCUGCAGUGACAAAGGAAAAGAUGCAAUGACCGGAGCAGAGGUUCAAGAUCAGGUCAACGAGGCUGUCGAGAGAGCGAUGGCUCGUCAGAAAGAGGAGAUGGCUCGUCAGAAUGAAGAGUUUAUGGCUCGUCAAAUGGCGUUUUUCCAACAAUACAACUCCGCAAUGCUCGCUCAAAAUCCGAACUUGCGCUUACCGGAGUUUCCGCCAUUCUUCAACAGCGAUGCAGCGCAGAACAUUUAUACUCCUGGAGCGUCAUCUUCUAGAGCCGCCGCACCGCCUACUCAACUACCAACGCAAGAAACUACGACGCCACAAGAGGAGCACACCACUUCACAACCGCGUGGAAGAUCGAUAAUAUUCACGACAGAGGCGUUACGAAAGGUGGUCGCAACUAAAAAAAAGAAAAAGAGCGAAAAAAAGAAGAAGUAAAAUUAGUGAUUGUCGAAGUUAUUUUUUGUUGUACAUUAAUUAUUAAACUUCAAAUUCAAUUUCAAUUUCAAUAUCAAUUUCAUUUUUAAUUUUAUUUUCAAUUUCAUUUUUAAUUUUAAUUUUAAUUUUAAUUUUUUUUUUUUUUUUUUCAAAAGUGAACCAGCGGCCAGGCCGCCAGAAAUUUCUUCCCGGGAAAUUUUUUUUCCUGCCGGGAAAUAUUGACCAGCGGCCAGGCCGUCGGAAAAUUAUUUUCCAAAAAUUAACAGGCGGCGGGCGGCCAGGCCGCCGGGAUAUAAUUUUCAAAAAAAAAUUUCGGCGACUAAGCCGCCGGGACAAUCUCUGUUAAAAUCGGAAUCCAAAAUUUUUUCCGGCGACAGCAACUCCGGCGACAGCAACUCCGGCGAUGGAAUCUCGUCGGCUUGGCCGCCAGGAACCAUUAUACCGGCGCCCUGGCCGCCGGAAUUUGCCGCCAGAAAUACGCUGAUUUUUUGUAGUGUGUAGAAAAGAUUUGCGCUUUGGUCCUUUAGUUUGUUUGAUAUCCGUUUCAUGAGUCACGGGCAAAUUACCUGCAUAGUAAACUUAGUACAAGAACUAGUUAGACACUCACAACAUUUAUUUAAUUCGUUUUAGGUCCAAUUUACAGAAUUACAAAUUUUGUAUUCUGUUUAUAAUUGGCCUAAUCUAACUAGGUUUAAUUAAUUCCUUUACUCCCCCCUCAAGCCUUGGAAUAUAUGUUGAUUAUUCCAAGCUUGGAAUGGGAAUUGGUGAUCUCUCUAUCACCUAAUGCUUUAGUUAAAAAACCAGCAAGUUGGAAUUUUGUUCCAACUUGUUUUAUUAGUAUUUUUCCUUGAUUGAUCAUUUCUCUUAUGAAAUGACAAUCUAUCUCUAUAUGUUUUGUUCUCUCAUGGAACACUGGGUUAUUUGCCAAAUAGAUGACUGAUUUAUUAUCACAAAACAAGCAGAUAGGUAGCUUUUUAAUUUUAACUUUUAACUCAUCCAUCAAUUGAUGGAUCCAUGUUAUCUCACAAGCUGUUUGAGCAAUUGCUCUAUAUUCAGCUUCACAAGAUGACCUUGCCACUGUAACUUGCUUCUUAGUCUUCCAUAAGACCAGUGAAUCUCCCACCAUUAUGCAAAAACCUAUUAAUGAUUUUCUACUUAUUUGGCAUGAUGCCCAAUCAACAUCACAAUACCCUUGUAAAUCCAUGUUUUUGAAUUUGCCAUAGAUUAAUCCCUGACCAGGUGCAUUUUUGAUAUAUCUGAUUAGUUUAAAUAGAACCUGAAGAUGUAUUUCUCUUGGCUCAUUCAUAAAUUGGCUCAGCCAAUUUACUGAGAAGCUAAUAUCUGGUCUAGUGAUGUUUAGGUAUAUAAGUUGUCCCACAAUCUUCCUAUAGAAUGUUGGGUUUUGAAUCUUUGAUGAUUUAUCAUUCUUGAGAUCUAUAUGUCUCUCCAUAGGUAUAAUUGAGGGUUUUGCUCCUGAGAGACCACAAUCCUCUAGAAUGCCUAGAGCAUACUUCCUUUGGGAGAGAUAUAUCCCUUUGUUGGAAUAUGAUACUUCUAUACCUAGGAAGUAGUUUAAUCUUCCUAAGUUAUUAUUAUAAAUAAUUUUAAUUAUUUCAAUUUCUAACUCAUUGCUCUCUGUUAUUAUUAUGUCAUCUACAUAAACUAUGAGAUAUAAUAUGUUUUGAUUUCUCUCUCUUAUAAAUAGGGAGUAAUCAGAUUUAGCUUGAGUAAAUCCAAUGUCUAAGAGUACUCUUAGUUUCUCAAACCAAUUCCUAGAGGCUUGUUUCAAUCCAUAUAAGGAUUUAUUGAAUUUACACACUCUUUUGUCUCCUUCUUCUAGGAGACCUUGUGGUGGUCUUAAGUAUAACCCUCUCCAUGCAAUUCUCCAUGGAGAAAAGCAUUGUUGACAUCUAACUGGUAUAAAUUCCAUCCUCUUAUGGAUGUUAUAGCUAUGAUGGUUUUAAUAGUCACCAUCUUGACCACUGGUGCAAAGGUUUCAAAAAAAUCAAAACCUUCUUUUUGUGUGAACCCUUUGGCUACUAGCCUUGCUUUGUAUCUUUCUAUAUCACCACUUGGUUUAUAUUUUAUUUUAUAGAUCUAUUUUGAACCUAUGGAUUUCCUAUCUUUUGGAAGGUCAGUUAGGGUCCAUGUGUUGUUUUCAUUGAGUGCUCUCAUUUCUUUUUGCAUUGCUUCAACCCAAUUUGGGUCUUUUGAAGCUUCUUCAAAAGAAUUGGGUUCAUCAUAUAUAGUUAUUUGUUUUAAAAAAUAUUUUUGUUGUUUGCUUGUCUUAUGAUAAGACACAUGAUUACUCAUGGGAUACUUAUUUUCAUGAUAGUCUUUUUCAUUUCCAAGAUAAUAAUCUUGAAAUUAUUUAGAUUUAGUUAUUUCCCUACCAUAUAGGCUAGUUUUAUGCUCUAAUUUAUUUUGAGAUGAUUUCUUCCCUAAAUCAUUAUUUUGAUUUAAUUCAUUUUCUGGUGGGAUUGUGUCCAGAGUUUCAUCUUCUGAAAUUACAGAAGUGUUUUGUUUUAAAUUACUGCCUGUAUUAUUUGGAACAUUAUCCAGAACAUUAUUAUGCCUAUUUUCUAAGAAAAUUCUAUUUUGAGUGAUAUUUAGACUAUUGAAUUGAGUGUCCAGAGCAUUCUUAUUUAUUAACUCAUCAAUGCUUAUUCCUUUUGAGUUUGUUUCUGAAAUUUCUCUUUGGUUUCUGUUUGGGCAGGAGUUUUCAGUGUCCAGAGCAUUUCUAUGUUUUAGCUCAAGGCCAUUUUCUGAAUUUAUGAGCUAGUUUUAUGAGCUAGCUCAGAAUUUGUUCCUUUUGAGUUAUUCAUUAAAUUUUCUUCUAAACGUCUGUCCAGGGUAUUGCCUGAACUGUUUUGAAGAUCAUUCUUGCAAAAAAAUUCAGAUUUCCUCUUUUUUAAGUUCCUGCCUAAUUGAUCUGAACUAUUACUCAGAUUGCCACUUAAGUUCUUUUGAACUUCAUGACUUGAGCUCUGAGUAUGUUCAGUACCUGAACUAACACAUUUUUGGUUUAUUUGGGAGUUAAAAAAAUUGUUUUCAGAUAUUUGUAUAUUUUCUUUAUUUUUGUGACUUAGAUGAGGAUUUUGAAUACUUAGAUGAAGAUUUUUAUUCAACUGAUUGUUUUCAGUUGUUCUUAAUGAUUCUUCUUCUAAUGUAUUACUUUUGUGUAUAUCAUCCUUAUCUAGAUUACUUUGGUUCUUAAAACAAUGAUUUUCUGAAUUUUGAGUCUCAAUUGACCCACUUUUAUUUUUAUUUUGAGAUUUUUCUUCUUUAUGAUUUGAAUAUGUAUUUUCUUUCUCUUUUCUUUGAUCAGGCAUGACUGAAAUGUUAUUUUCAGAAUCCAAUAUCUUCAUUUUUUCAGAUAUUUGAAAUUCUGAUUUUUUAGUUGAGAAACCAUCAUUUUCAGAUCUUGUUGUGCUUUUGUUGUCAAUUUUAGAAUCAUAGUAUUUAUAUAUAAUUCUAUUAUAUAUAUAUAUAUAUAUCUUCAUAUGAUCUAUUAUUUUGUGUUUGAUCUUGAUGAUUUUUGAAACAAUCAUCUUUAAAUGGAAAAAUGUUUUCCUUAAAAAUUAUAUUUCUAGAAAUAUGAAACUUUUUAGUUUCUAUGUCUAAUAUUAAAUAUCCUUUAAUAUUAGAAGGAUAUCCCAUAAAUAUACCUUUAAAGGUUCUUUGAGAGAAUUUAUGUUCUCUAAUAUUAGUUGUUGCAUAGCAUAAACAUCCAAAAAUUCUUAUUGAGUUAUAAUUGGGUGUUUUAUUAUUAAGUAUUUCAUAUGGAGUUUUAUUUUCCAAUAUUUUGGAUGGAAUUCUAUUGAUUAUGUGAGUAGUUGUCAAUAUACACUCUCCCCAAUAUAUUAGGGGAAUUCCUCCUUGAAAGUGUAAGGAUCUAGCUACCUCUAGCAAACGCCUAUGUUUUCUCUCAACUAUAGCAUUUUGUUGAGCUGUAUAUGGACAAGUGAGUUGAUGGGUUAUUCCAUAUGUUUCUAGUGUUUUUCUAAAAGAAUGUGAGGUGAAUUCACCUCCAUUAUCACUCCUUAUAAUUUUAAUAUUUUUGUCAAAAAAGUUUUUAACUCUAGCUAUGAAUGUUUUAAUGUGUCUAGAGCCAUGUCCAUUGUUUUUAAAAGAAAAGUCCAAGUGACCCUACUUAGAUCUUCCACAAUGGCUAAAAAAUAAGAAAAACCAUCAUGUGUCAUAAUUGGGAAUUUACCUCAAAUAUCUAUAUGAAUUAAAUCAAAAAGAGAUUUAGAUUUAGACAAGUUAUUUUUAUACUUUAAUUUAUUUUGUUUUGCAAGUGGACAAACAAGACAAUUAUCUUUAAUACUUGAAAGAUUUUUAUUUAUCGAAGAAAAAAUAUUCAGAACAUCAACUGUUUUACAUCCUUUAUUUUCAUAAUUUAAAAUACAAUUUUUUCUAGAAUCUAUACUCUCAGCAUUGAUUAAUAUCCUCAUUUUCUCUGCUGAGAUAUACACAAGCCUCUUGUGCCAGGUCUCAAGGUCUAUGGAUGAAUUGGCAGAGUCAAUUUGAGGCUUGAGGAAGUAAAACCCAUUUUUACACCCACCCUGCCCAAUCACUCUCCCUAACCUGUUUUCCUGAAAAUCACAUCCAUCUCUGUUAAAAUUUAAAUUUAGGUAUGAAUCACUUGCUAUUUUAUGUACUGAAUCACUUGCUACUUUUAAGAAUGAGGUUUUCAGAAAUUGUUAUAUUUCCAAUUGAUAUAACUUUGCAUACUUCUCCACUAAAAAUGAUCACAUAGUGAUUAUAUUCACUUUUGAGAGUGUUAUCAAAAAAAUUAAGGUUCCCAGUCAUAUGUUGGGAUGCUCCAGUGUCAAUUAUCCAUUUAUUUUGGUAAUUUGAAUUAUUUAAAGAAAAAGAAAAAAACAUACCUGCGGAUUUACUUAGUAAAUCCUUGAGUAAUAAUAAUUCCUCAUUGUUGAGAUUGGGUAUAUUUGCUGAAGUAUUAGCUUGAUUGGCAGUAUCUCUGCCCUUUCUGUAUUUGUCUUUCUUGUCUUUAUUGGGGAAACCUACUAGAUGGAAACAAUUUUCCCUAACAUGACCAAAAUACUUAUAAUUGUCGCAAUAGUAUUUUGUGUCCAAUUUCUUUCCAUUUCUACUAUAUAUUCCUUUUUUCUUGAAUUCUUCUUUCUUUUCUUCUUUAUCAUUACUCUUAGCAAGCAUAGCUGUAGAACUACCUCCCACCUUUUCUUUAAAAUUCAGUUUUUGUUUUUCCUCUUGUAUAACUAGUGAAAAAACUUGAUUCAUGGGGGGUAGUUCAGAAUAGGCUAAGAUCUGACUUCUUAUGGUCAUAAAGUCCUCAUUGAGGCCUAAUAGGAACUGAUGAGUCCUAUCCUUCUCUAACUUCCUUGUGUAAAUGGGUGCACAUGUUGUGCAAAAUUUAUACUCGGGUUUUUCUAUUUCUAUGUAUUGAUUUCAUAGGGAUUUGAAUUUAUCAAAAUAUACUGAAACAGAAUUACUAGCUUGAUUUAAAGUAUCAAUUUCAUACCUUAGCUGACUAGUUUUUGGAGCAUUUUUCUAUUUAUACCUUUCUUGAAGCUCAGUCCAUGCUUCAUAGGCAGUCUCUGUGUGAAUUAAGGUGGAGGCUAUCUGAGGGCUUACUCCAUUGAUAAUCCAGGAGAGAACCCAGCCCAUUCACCAUCUCCCAAUCCUCAAAAUCAUCUCCUGUCUCAUCCACUGGUUUCUUAAUCUUGCCAUUAAUGAAGGCUGUCUUUUUUCUUGAAACUAAGGAUAACUUCAUAGAAUUGGCCCAGGCGACGUAGUUGGCCUCACCACUUAGUUUAUCUGAGACCAUUUGUGCCCCUGGAUGAUCUCCAACUGACAUAAAAAAUGGGGAUUUUCUAGAGACUUCUUGCUCCACAGAGUUAAUCUUUUGCUUCUUAUUCACUGACGUUUUUCUUCUUCUUCUUGUAGCUUUGAAAAAUCUGCUAUUCUCUUCAGAAGAUGUCGUCGUGUAUUGAUUUAAAGUGUUCCUUGAAAAGCCUUUAGAUUCUUCUCCACUGCCAGAGUUGUUUGCAAAUGCGGAAUUUGUAUCCAGGUCAACAUUGUUACCUACUGAUACCAUAUUAAAAGAUGAAGACUAGGUAGUCGCGCCGGCGAUAAUCGUAUUGUUAUAUCAGGAUCACCGGAGAUAUGAUUAUUGGAGAAGAUUAACGAAAGGGGGAAGAACUUAGGUCAUUUGCACUGUAGCAACGGUUGAGAAGUAACCGUUAGUGCGAGAGAGGUUUAGAGAGGGAUUAGAAUGAUUCAAUUGAUUCAAUUGAUUAAUUUUGUUAAUUACAAUGUUAUUUAAUACAAUUGAAACUAACUAAUUUUACAACAAACUCUAUUACAAUAUAAAGUUUCGGCCCAUACGCAAUUGGCCCGUUAAGCAUUUAUUGAAACUAUUACGUUUUGGUCCUGCAUAAUAAACUUAGUACAAGAACUAGUUAAACACUUACAACAUUUAUUUAAUUCGUUUUAGGUCCAAUUUACAUAAUUACAGAUUCUGUAUUAUGUUUAUAAUUGGCUUAAUCUAACUAAGUUUAAUUAAUUCCUUUAGAUGAUGUGGCCAUUGAGUAUUGAGGAAGAUGAUGGAGGCGGCGUUUGGAUUGGGUUCUAGAGUACAAGAAGGGGGAGAAAUAUAUAUAAGUAUAGAUAAACGGGUAUUCAGAUAACAUUUUCUAGACCUUAUGUGACGGGUCAUCGUAACGGGUUACCGGGUUAGGGUUAUAUCAACCAGUAUUACAAUUAACUAAUAAGAGGCAAAUUGGAAAAAUUACUUCCUAACAACCCCUAACCACCUAAGAGGCUAAUACCUAGGUUUGGUGGUUACUUUUGACAACCAAACCAUCUUAGGUGGUUAGAAAUGAAACCCACCUACAAAGUAAAUAUUAAAUUUCAGAUUUUUUUAUUUAAUAACAGAUUGUAAAACUAAGUUAUAUCAUGGUAAAAAUUAAAUUAAAAUUACAAUCUUAAUAAUUACAAUUUCUUAUAUAAGUAAAAAAUAAAAUGUGAGAAUAAUCGACACUAAAUUAAACUUCUAUCUCUUUUCAUUUUUCUCCAUCUUUUUCAUUUAAAAUCUAAGGUUUCAUGUAGGAUUGAGAACAUAUUGGAGUCAUCUUCUGAGACAAGAUUUUGCUCCAUUAUCUUGUUUUUUGGAACGAGAAAAAUAACAUUUUUUUUCUUUUGUUUUUACUUCGCCCAUCUCGUCUCGGUCCUAUUUUUCGAGGCGUGAUAUAACUCGUAUGAAUCGUACAACUAAGAAUCACUUCACCUGAGAUGAAGAGAGUCUCCGGUCCGGCGAUCAACAUACCACGAAUAUCAAGAGAUGCUCACGACGAGGAUAAAAUCUGAAAUCAAGAUUUAGUCCAAGACAGAUUUUUGCUGUUAUAAGCAAUCUGGCUGGAUACUCGAUUCGGCUGAUGGUUGCUGGCGAACAGCGAUGGAUGGUCAUGUACUCGAUCUUGUGUCGGAUGGUGAUGAGGUGGUUGUCGUUUGAGAAGUUUAGGAAAUUGUUUUAUCAAAUUGAUAGUACCAUUUUCAUUAAAAUUGGCGUAUGAAGUUUAAUAUUUGUAACUGCUAUUACAACAUUACAACAUUUAAUAAAAUUUUAAUAAAAUAACGAUUCUUAAGCAAAUAGCAAUAUUAGUCUUUAAAAUAGACAGAAUACUGGGCCGGCCCAUAACCUUUUCAAUUACCCCCAAAUUGGGUAACAAAAUCCUAAAAUCGACGCGGAGCCCUAGCUGCUCUUAUCGGGCACCCGAUAACUAGUUCAUCCCCAACGUUUGGAACAUGUAAAUUCCGCACAACCUGACCUGCGAUAUCUCUUGCAGCUGGCCUAGUCGUAUCAUCUCCUCCACCUCUGAGAAUCGCCAUGUCCUCACUGGCAAUGGAUAGAAACAUCGUCUCCAUGCUGUUUUCGACUCUCCCAAGACGCAUCCUCCGAUGACGACCAGCUCCAAUGGACCAGAACUUGCUCUGUUUGUUUUCCGUUCAGGUAAAUUCUUCUUGAAUCAAUUAUUGCAUUAGGAUAUAUAUAUAAUCGGUUGAUUGUUGAUAGCUAAGAUUUGAUUUACUUCUUCAUGUGGUGGUAAUUCUCCUUUGUAGGGCUUCAUUUUGGAUAUGUGAAAGGUGUUAUGAAUUUUGCUGCCCUGAGGUAAUGCUACUAUGUAUGUUGCUCUACUGAUUUUCUUUAUUAUCUUGUAGGGACCAAAAUACUUUUAAUUUGCGUUAUUUUUUAUUCAAUCUGUAUGAGUGCUUUGUUUGUAGGGUUUUUAUUUGACCCAUAUCCAAUCUCCCACCUUGAAUUCAAUAUCUUUUCUCUUUGUGUCUGCCUUUAGCUUCAUUAAUUCCCGACAUUUCUUGAGAUUUGUUUUGAUGUGUUUUAGAGCUUCUUCCCUUACUUGCAUAUUAGAAUCUACUGUGUCUAUACUUGAAUCUCCCGGAUUAUAAUGAAUAAUUCCUGGUAGAUCUCUGCCAUAUAAAACAUUAAAAGGUGUUGUCUUGAUUGAUGAGUGAUAAUUGGUAUUAUACCAAAGUUCAGCCCAUGAUAAUAAGCUUAACCAUUUUUUGGGUUGACAGAAGCACCUUAGAUACAUCUCUAAUCCUCUGUUAACCACCUCUGUUUGACCAUCACUUUCAGGGUGAUAUGUAGUUGAGUAAUGUAGUUUGAUUCCACUCUCCUUGUGUAAUUCUUUCUAAAAUUUAGAAGUGAAUAUUUUAUUCCUAUCCGAAACAAUGAAAUUUGGUAUUCCAUGGAGCUUGAUGACCAUUGAUGUAAAUAAUUCAGACACCAUACUUGCAUUGAAAUUUGUGGGCAAGGCUCUAAAAUGUGCAUAUUUUGAUAAUCUAUCCACAACUACCAUGAUGACUGUUUUUUCUUGGGUUAAUGGUAUAGCUCAGUGACGAAGUCCAUUGUUACAUUCUUCCAAACCAAGUUAGGUAUUGGUAGUGGCAUCAACAAUCCUGCUUUCUUUUGAUUUAUUGGUUUCAUCUGUUGAUAAAAUUGCAUAAUUUAUCACAAAUUCUCUGAUAUCUUUAGACAUACCUUCCCACCAAAACUGGAAAUUUAUUCUUUUAAUAGUUGCUUUUAUCUCAGAGUGGCCUCCAGUUACUGCUGAAUGGUAUUCCUUCAUGAUCUCUUUCCUGAUUUCAAAAUCCUUUGAUAGGUAUAUUCUGCCCAUGAAUUUAAUUAUGCCUCCUUGAUCGAAUUGUAAAUCCCACCCUUGAGUUAGGAUUUUUGCUAACUUCUUCCAUCAAUUCUGUCAAUGAUGUGGACUCCCUAUUUUCUUUUCUGAUUUCAUUUAUCAAAUUAUAAAUAGGAGUUGAUAAGGCUAAAAAUGAACUUGGAUUUCCUUUGGAUGAAUGAGAAUAAAUAAUUUCUUACUCUCCUUCUUCAAAUGAUCUAGAGAGUGCAUCAGCCACUACAUUUGAUUUUCCUGGCUUGUAUACAAUCUGAAAAUCAAAUCUCAGUAAUUUACAUAAGAAUAUCGGCUGUUCUGGGGUCUGUAUGACUUGUGUCAAUAGAUUCUUUAGACUUAUGUGAUCCGUCCUUAUAGUAAAUGAAGCACCCAGCAAAUAAUGUCUCCAUUUAUGGACUGAUCGUGUGAUUGCAAACAUCUCCUUUAUGUAAAUUGAAGCACCUGCAAUUUUUCCAGAUAUUUAGCAGCUGUAAAAAGAAAUAGUAUGAUCUUCUUGCAUGUAUAAGUACUGCUCUUACUCCACUAUUGCAAGCAUCUGUCUCUAAUAUGAAUUUUUUUUCGAAAUCUGGAAAUGCUAGGACUGGAGCUUUUAUCAUGGCUGCCUUCAGAGUCUCAAAACUUGCUUUACUGUCUUCAGACCAUUUAAAAUUAUCCUUCUUCAGUAAAUUUGUCAUUGAAGCAACAAUCUGAGCAUAAUUUUUAUGAACCUUCUAUAGUAGCCAGAUAGUCCCAAAAAACCUCUGAGCUGUUUGAUGGUCUGUGGCACCUUCCAUUUUGUCAUAUCACUUACUUUAUCUGGAUCAGGAUGUACUCCUUUCUCUGAAAUUAUAUGUCUUAAAAACCCAAUAGAUGAUUUCCCAAAUGAGCACUUUGAUAGCUUUGCUAGUAAUUGGUUGUUUCUGAGUAUCUCAAAUACUCUGCCCAAAUGAAAUAUGUGUUCCUUCAGUGAAGGGUUGUAGAUCAGUAUAUAAUCAAAAAAUAUAAUCACAAAUUUUCUCAAUAUUAUUUUGAAAACCGAGUUCAUAACUGUCUGACAUAUAGUUGGAGCAUUGGUUAACCCAAAUGGCAUAACCAUGAAUUCAAAGUGGCCUUCAUGAGUUCUGAAUGUUGUUUUGUGAGUGUCUGAUGGGCAAACUCUGAUCUGAUAAAAACCAAACCUCAGAUCUAAUUUUGAAAAUAUUGUAGAUCCUUUCAAUUCCCCAAGCAAUUCAUCCACAGUUGAGAUGAGGAAUUUAUCUUUGAUAGUUAGAGCAUUGAGUGCUCUAUAAUCUACACACAUCUUGUAUCCCUAUCUUUCUUUUUUAUGAGUAAUACAGGAGAAGAAUAUGGGCUUAGACUGGGUUUGAUGGUGCCUUAAUCCAGCAUUUCUGAAAUUAACUUUUCAAUCUCAUUUUUCUGAAAUUGUGGGUACAUGUAAGGUCUCACAAUAACUGGUUUAGCUCCUGGUACUAAAUGUAUAUCAAAUGAUUUCUUUCUCUCUGUGGGGGCAGGCAUGUUGGAUAAAUAAAAAUAUCUGAAAAUUCUUUUACCACCUCGUGAAUUUCUGGUUUUUCUUUGCUCAGAGAUCUGUUGGUUUCAUUAUUUGAAAAAGUUUCAUAAUAACAUAAAUAAGCCUCUGUUGUUACCUGACACAAGCUUUUCAGUUCCCCCACUGUUAAUGGAUCAUCAUAAAUCCAUGAUAUUCCUUGCCAAGUUAUUUCUUUUCUUGCCCACUUGAACUUCAUUGUUAACUUUUCAUAAUUUGAAACGAUAUACCUCAAUUUUUUUAGCCAUUGGAUCUCAAUUACUAAGUUUGAUCCAGCCAUUGGUAUCAGAAAUACAUCUAUCAUUAAUUACUACCACUCCUUGAAUCUUUAUUUCUACAUCUUUGCAUACUUUGUCGCAAGUAAGAUUUUCUCCACUACAUGUGGCUACUUUAAAGGGUCUAGUAGCAUGUAUAGUUAAUUUUAAAGCAGAUGCUACUGCUAGUUGCAUAAAAUUAUGUGUUGAACCAGAAUCUACUAGAAUACUCAUAGAUUGCAUUUUUAUAAAUCCUUCUAAUCGGAUUAUGCUUGGAUUCAUUUGACCUUCAAAUGCAUGCAUGUUGAUACCAGUGGGAGCUUCAUUACUUCUUAUGAUGGGAAUUUCCUCAAGUUCCUCCUCCAUAUUUAUAAUCUCUUCUUGUUCUUCCAUUUCUAGCAAAUAUGAUUCAUCAGCAGAAAGCAUGAACAUUUUACCUUUGCAAUAUUUAUGUCUUGGUAUAAAUCUGUCAUCACAAUUAAAACAGAGUCCUUUUGUUGUCCUUUCUUUCCUUUCCUUAGGUGAUAAUCUUUUGAAAACUGGUUUAGUUGUGGGUUGUUCUUGACUUCCUUUAGCAUACUGAAUUUUUUCUGUUGGUGUUGGAUUUGUCAGCUCCUUGGGUCGAUAUCUCCAAGUGUUUCUUGAUGAUUUAGGGAUCCAGCUUGAUUCACUUCCCACUUGCUUCCCUUCCACUAAGGCUGUCAUGUCAAAUGCUUCUUAUAUGUCAUUUGACUUAAAUUUCACUACUUCUUUCUGAAUGUCAUCUUUGAGGUCAGAAAUAAAUAUUUCCAGUAUGAAAUAAUCUGGUAGACCCAGACACCUUGUGCAUCUUUUUUCAAACUCUGUUUGAUAUUCAGCUACAGAACCCAACUGCAUUAAUUUGCUUAAUUUACCCCCAGGGAGAGUGUAGUUACCUCUGCUGAAUUUUUUGCACAAGUCUUUUACAAAUCUUUUCCAAUCAGUGAGAAAAUUGCUAGCCUCCAUUCAUGAGAACCAUUUUCUUGCUAUUCCAUCCAUGUGAAAUGAAGCCAUUAAUUAAUAAUUUUUGUUCUUUCGAAAGUCUUGUUGUAGACGAAGAAUCUUCUAACUUGAUAUAGCUAAUCUUUUAUAUCCUUGCCAUCAAAUCUUGGCAUAUUGACGUUAAUGUUUCUUGUUGGACAAUACUUGUCAUCAUUUAGUAUACUAGCUGCAUGCCAGUAUAUGUGGGGUUGUCAAGAUCCACUAGAGAUAGAUAGUUUUGAUCAUCAAAUCUUGACAUAUUGACGUUAAUGUUUGCUUGACAAUACUUGUCAUCAUUUAGUAUGCUAGCUGCAUAUGUGGGGUUGUCAAGAUCCACUAGAGAUUGCUUCAAAAAAAAAAAAAAAAGAUCCACUAGAGAUAGAUAGUUUAGAUCAUCAAAUUCCCUGUUUUGUUUGCUUUGUUCACCAUCAGGUGGUUCUGGAUAUUUUGCUUCUCUUCCUCCUUUCAUUAUUAUUUGAGAUCUGUGAUAUUGUAUUUGUUAUGGAUAUUCGAAAUUCAGUCAUCUCCUUUGUUUGAUCCAUUUGUAAUGCUUGUAAUAUUUUGAAAUCGAGAUUUGCAGAUAAUUUCAGAUUAGAGGCCAUUGUUAUUCUGCAAUUAAAAGAGUUCGAAAAUUUUGAAAGCAUCAAUGAUACAACUCGUAUAAAUCGUACAAUUAAGAAUCACUUCACCUGAGAUAAAGAGAGUCUCUAGUCCGGCAAUCAACAGACCACUGAUACCGAGAGAUGCGCACGGCGAGGAUAAACCUCUGAAAUCAAGAUUUAGUCCAAGACAGAUUUUUGCUGUUAUAAGCAAUCUGACUGGAUACUCGAUGCGACUGAUGGUUGCUGGCUAACGACGGAUGGUCGUAUUGUACUUGAUCUUGUGUCGGAUGGUGAUAGGGUGGUUGUCGUUUGAGAAGUUUAGGAAAUUGUUUUAUCAAAUUGGUAGUUAUCAUUUUCAAUAAAAUUGACUUAAAAUAAACAGAAAACCGGGUCGGACCAUAACCUUUUCAAUUACCCCCAAAUUGGGUAACGAAAUCUUAAAAUCGGCACGAAGUCCUAGCUGCUCUUAAUUUUAAUAAAAUUUCCUAAAACAGAGUUAUUUUAAAAAUAACGAUUCUUAAGCAAAUAGCAAUAUUAGUCUUUAAAAUAAACAGAAUACUGGGUCGGACCAUAACCUUUUCAAUUACCCCCAAAUUGGGUAACGAAAUCUUAAAAUCGGCACGGAACCCUAACUGUUCUUAUUGGACAUCUAAUAACUGGUUCACCCCCAACGUCUGGAACAUGUAAAUCAUGCACAACCUGACCUGCGAUAUCUCUUGCAGCUGGCUGAGUGGCUGAGUCGUAUCAGGAUCUCAAUUCACGGCUGCCCUGGUGGCCUCAUUUUUGCCAAAUCCCGCGACAUGUUUUUUCUUCAAAUUCCAUCAAAACCCAAGAUCUACCCAAGACUCGGAUUUUCAACUGAGUUAUGAACAAGAUCAACGUCUUCUCUUUUAUUAUAAUCGUCAAUCACUUUGAAAUUUGAAA
rnacentral:lncRNA from 1 species